GAUGAACGCUGGCUACAGGCUUAACACAUGCAAGUCGAGGGGAAACGACGGGGAAGCUUGCUUCCCCGGGCGUCGACCGGCGCACGGGUGAGUAACGCGUAUCCAACCUGCCUCUGACUGAGGGAUAACCCGUCGAAAGUCGGCCUAAUACCUCAUGGCAUCGUCUGCGGGCAUCCAACGACGAUUAAAGAUUUCAUCGGUCAGGGAUGGGGAUGCGUCUGAUUAGCUUGUUGGCGGGGUAACGGCCCACCAAGGCUACGAUCAGUAGGGGUUCUGAGAGGAAGGUCCCCCACAUUGGAACUGAGACACGGUCCAAACUCCUACGGGAGGCAGCAGUGAGGAAUAUUGGUCAAUGGGCGGGAGCCUGAACCAGCCAAGUAGCGUGCAGGAUGACGGCCCUAUGGGUUGUAAACUGCUUUUAUGCGGGGAUAAAGUGAGGGGCGUAUCCUUCAUUGCAGGUACCGCAUGAAUAAGGACCGGCUAAUUCCGUG
rnacentral:rRNA from 1 species